UACGAAGGGGGCUAGCGUUGCUCGGAAUUACUGGGCGUAAAGGGCGCGUAGGCGGCCUUCUAAGUCGAACGUGAAAUCCCCGGGCUCAACCCGGGAACUGCGUCCGAUACUGGCAGGCUUGAAUUCGGGAGAGGGAUGUGGAAUUCCAGGUGUAGCGGUGAAAUGCGUAGAUAUCUGGAGGAACACCGGUGGCGAAGGCGGCAUCCUGGACCGAUAUUGACG
rnacentral:rRNA from 1 species